UGUCAGAGGCUAUAGGAUUGUACGUUUUCAAUGUUUAAAGUGCACUGUAUGUUUUAUAACCACAAUAGUAUGAUGAUUAGAGAGAGACUUUAAAUCUUUCUGUGUGGGAAAAAUGUUGUUGUUGUUGUUGUUGUUUUACUAAGACUGAGAAUAUACAUGUUCAUUUCCUCAGUUCCAAUUCCCUAGUCAGAAAAGAAACUCACUGGAUGACCUUGGACCAAUAAAUUGUCUCCCAAACAUAACCUACCUCACCAGGCAGACGGAUGCUGUAGCCAAAGUUUCAUGAACACCAAUUGAAGUGCAUAAUGUUUUGGACUUCAACGUUACAGACUAAUCUUGAGAAGAAUAAAUGUGAGGGGAUAAAAAGGGGUUUCUUAAGCAUUGAGAAACUCUGACACAGAGAACCCUAGCUAAAGCCCCAGACCCAAUUAGAGGCCCUGUCUUCGACUUAAAAGACAGCUAACUUUGGAACGUGGCAGAUGGAAGCCAUUUUCUCUUUCUGUGUGCCAAUAUCUUCCCAGAAUCCCAUGUGCUAUUUUGGGCUUCAGGGAAGGCAAUAAAAUAUUUUGGCAGCCUGGGGAAGUCAGAUCCUUCAGUUGGGCAGGAAUGAAGCCUCCCUCACCCCCCCCCCCCCCCCAAAUCUGUUGCUUCCUUGCCACAAGGAGCUUGAAGAAAAAAAGAACUAAGUAGCACUCGUAAGAAAAAUGCUGGAAGUGAAAGGGGAAGAAAAAGGAGACAAAAAGAGGAGAUGGAGAAGAACAAGGCAAAUCAGUGCCAAGAUAGAAACAGGAAGGACAGGAGGAAUAUUGUGCGGAAGGAAAGGGAUAAGUCCUGAACUGUGGGAACAUCUUCAAAAAUUUCAGUUUACUUAGCAGGGAGGUAGAAAACUGUGAGAAUUAAAUCAAAGAGAGUUACAUCCCAA